rnacentral:rRNA from 1 species
UUUACAAUGCACGAAAGUGUGAUAGGGGGAUUCAACGUGCUCAAGCUUUGCUUGGGCUUUUGUCAAGUCACAAUUGCUUGACGAAUAAGGGAUGGGAAAGACUGGUGCCAGCCGCCGCGGUAACACCAGCGUCCCAAGUGGGAGUCAGUUUUAUUGGGUCUAAAGCGUCCGUAGCGGGUUUAGUAAAUUACUUGUGAAAUCGUGCGUCUCAAGCGUACGGAAGGCAGGUAAGACUGCUAAACUAGAGAUCGGGAGACGUUGGAGGUAUUCAUGGGGGAGCGGUAAAAUGCGAGAAUCCCAUGAGGACCACCUGUUGCGAAGGCGUCCAACAAUAACGAGUCUGACCGUGAGGGACGAAAGCUAGGGGAGCGAACCGGA